AGCAGUAGCCACGGGAAUACGUAGGUGGCAAGCGUUGUCCGGAAUUAUUGGGCGUAAAGCGCGCGCAGGCGGAUCAGUUAGUCUGUCUUAAAAGUUCGGGGCUUAACCCCGUGAUGGGAUGGAAACUGCUGAUCUAGAGUAUCGGAGAGGAAAGUGGAAUUCCUAGUGUAGCGGUGAAAUGCGUAGAUAUUAGGAAGAACACCAGUGGCGAAGGCGACUUUCUGGACGAAAACUGACGCUGAGGCGCGAAAGCCAGGGGAGCGAACGGGAUUAGAUACCCCGGUAGUCCCUGUCUCUUAUACC
rnacentral:rRNA from 1 species